AGCAUAGUUCACAUGUCAUUAUGUUUUUCAAUUAAUAUAAAAGAUUGUGCCAUACAAACUUACAGAAAAGAAUAAUAAUAAUAAAUAAAAAAAUAGUAGAAUAAAAUAGGUGCUUUCAGAGAUUGAUGAGGAUAAAAGGCACAUGGUCGGUCCAUUUCUACGUAUUAGGUUUCCAUAUUUGUUUUAAAAAUAAGAAGGUUUCCAUAUUUACACUAUCCAGCAGAUUUGCAUAAGAGCAACUUUAUCCCAGAAACGUGGUUGGGUUUCUAAUUUUUCUGAUUUAUAAAAAAAAAAAAAUUAAAAACAAAACCAAUUGUGGACCACCACGCAUCAUGGGGUCCACAAAACAGUACAUCAUACACCCAAUAUACGUUUUUUCUUCUGCAACAAUUAAAGACGGUUUUGUCAAAAAUCGUGGGUCUCCCAAUAUAAGAGACGCUCAGCAUACUGCGAUGCAGAUGCUCUAAGGCCAUUGGCGUACAUAAAGUAGAUGGCAAAAUAGGCUUUCGACAUGUUUCUCUCUGUG
rnacentral:lncRNA from 1 species